UUCUCAAAGCUGACUGUUCAGAUUGACAGAAUGUCAAUUGGUACAGACAAUUUCAAAAUAGUUAGUUUAAGUUUGUUUAAAGGAAUGGGAAGAAAUGAAAGCCAACUUUCUCAGGACUUUCCAGUGAAUUUGUUUGUCCUUCCCUUUUUCCCCCCAGAUGCACCGAGGAUCUGGCUGAUUACUGGAAAUUUGGAAGAUUGUUCUUUAUCUGCACUGUCACUUCUGUUAUUAAGGAGCAGUGGGCUGCAGUGAUGCGACCAGGAAGCAACUGGGGGUUCAGUGCCUUGCUCAAGGACACUUCGACUUGCAACUAAUGGGGAGAGCGGGGACCGAACCGACAACCUUGGGGUUGCAGGACGGCCCCCUUACCCCACUGAGCUACAGCCGCCCACAAUUAUGGACCUUUUGUGGUAUGUUUUGCUUUCACUUAUCAACUGAUAGUGAAUAAUUGGUUGAUUUUGAAAAUGUACAUUAAAUAAAAUGUUUUAAAAUCAAUA